UACCAGUCUGGUCCUACUGCGGUUCUGUUGGGUCUCCAUUUGUUAUUCAGAUGUUCUUCUUCAGCUGUUUGGAUCAUUUGAACAAACUUGGAAUCUGCAGACCUGAUCAGAUCCAAACAUCCCAUCUUCAGGAGUCACUGGUUUCAUCUGUGUCAUUGUUCCAGCUGCUGAGGUGAAGGUAGAAAGUGUGUGUGAGCUGAUGUGAAUUCAGCAG